GCGGUGGAGCAUGUGGUUUAAUUCGAAGCAACGCGAGAACCUUACCAGGUCUUGACAUCCCUGACAACCCGAGAGAUCGGGCGUUCCCCUUCGGGGGACAGGGUGACAGGUGGUGCAUGGUUGUCGUCAGCUCGUGUCGUGAGAUGUUGGGUUAAGUCCCGCAACGAGCGCAACCCUCGCCUCUAGUUGCCAGCAUUCGGUUGGGCACUCUAGAGGGACUGCCGGCGACAAGUCGGAGGAAGUGGGGAUGACGUCAAAUCAUCAUGCCCCUUAUGACCUGGGCUACACACGUGCUACAAUGGGCGGUACAAAGGGCUGCGAACCCGCGAGGGGGAGCGAAUCCCAAAAAGCCGCUCUCAGUUCGGAUUGCAGGCUGCAACUCGCCUGCAUGAAGCCGGAAUCGCUAGUAAUCGCGGAUCAACAUGCCGCGGUGAAUACGUUCCCGGGCCUU
rnacentral:rRNA from 1 species